CGGGACGGGGUGGAGGUAAGUAGUUCCGGGGAAACCGCCUGAUGGAGGGGGAUAACUGCUGGAAACGGUAGCUAAUACCGCAUAACGUCGCAAGACCAAAGAGGGGGACCUUCGGGCCUCUUGCCAUCGGAUGUGCCCAGAUGGGAUUAGCUAGUAGGUGGGGUAACGGCUCACCUAGGCGACGAUCCCUAGCUGGUCUGAGAGGAUGGCCAGCCACACUGGAACUGAGACACGGUCCAG
rnacentral:rRNA from 1 species